rnacentral:rRNA from 1 species
UACGUAGGGUGCGAGCGUUAAUCGGAAUUACUGGGCGUAAAGCGUGCGCAGGCGGUUUUGUAAGCCAGAUGUGAAAUCCCCGGGCUUAACCUGGGAAUGGCAUUUGGGACUGCAAGGCUGGAGUGUGGCAGAGGAGACUGGAAUUCCCGGUGUAGCAGUGAAAUGCGUAGAUAUCGGGAGGAAUACCGAUGGCGAAGGCAGGUCUCUGGGCUGACACUGACGCUCAUGCACGAAAGCGUGGGGAGCGAACAGG